AGUCAACGCGACUAGCGUUUCGUUCCUCCCUGUUGCGCUGCGUUGGCUGUUCCCUCUGGAGGUUUUUGACCUUCAAACUUUGAAGGGCUCCGGCUGUGCCGAGAGCCCUUUCUU
rnacentral:sRNA from 1 species